UACGUAGGGUGCAAGCGUUAAUCGGAAUUACUGGGCGUAAAGCGUGCGCAGGCGGUUUUGUAAGUUUGUCGUGAAAUCCCCGGGCUCAACCUGGGAAUUGCGUUGGAGACUGCAAGGCUGGAGUCUGGCAGAGGGGGUAGAAUUCCACGUGUAGCGGUGAAAUGCGUAGAGAUGUGGAGGAAUACCGAUGGCGAAGGCAGCCUCCUGGGCCAACACUGACGCUCAUGCACGAAAGCGUGGGGAGCAAACAGG
rnacentral:rRNA from 1 species